CAGUCGCCGCGGUAAUACGUAGGUGGCAAGCGUUGUCCGGAAUUAUUGGGCGUAAAGGGCUCGCAGGCGGUUUCUUAAGUCUGAUGUGAAAGCCCCCGGCUCAACCGGGGAGGGUCAUUGGAAACUGGGAAACUUGAGUGCAGAGGAGGAGAGUGGAAUUCCACGUGUAGCGGUGAAAUGCGUAGAGAUGUGGAGGAACACCAAUGGCGAAGGCGACUCUCUGGUCUGUAACUGACGCCGAGGAGCGAAAGCGUGAGGAGCGAACAGGAUUAGAUACCCCGGUAGUCCCUGUCUCUUAUAC
rnacentral:rRNA from 1 species